UUAUUAUUGUAAAAUUUCGAGUUUAUACGGAAAAAAAUAAAUCAGUCGAGAUUCAUAAGUACGAAGCUCUGUCUCCUGAGCAUUAUAUUUCGCCUUUGUCAUCUAAUUCAAUUACAUCUCUGUAUUUCCUUGGGAACCUUCUCAAGAACGAGAAAGUUUUAAGUUUCUAAGAAUUUUAUCACAUGGAGCCGCGGCGAAGACGAUCUUCUGAGGAGGUAAACAGAAGUUAGGAUAUAGACUACUCAGGCGCGGAGCGAUAAGCUUCCACCUCCGAAGCCUCAGUUACUAGUGUAGUAGUUCGUAACAGUCUGCUCCACCGUUUUGGUCUGACCGACCUGUUUGAUUCAGUUUUUCGCCGCGCCGGUGAGCUUUGGCAUACCCAGAUCUUAACUGGUUUAGCCAAUCACAUUUCCAGAUUCUCAUCUCCCAUGGAACCAGUUCCAUUGCCGCCUCCUCUUCCUCCUUUGAAUUUUUUUUAGAUUUGUGACAUGGUGGCUGUUGAUCGGCUAUUGAACCUCACUCGUAUUUCCUGAGGUUGACAAAACAUCUUUUUGGGCUGAUCCUUGAAAUGGGUUUUCUUUGUUAUAUCGAUUGGUGUCUGCCCCUUGAUAUUAACUAUAAAGGAUGCUGAUUCUACAACAGAGAAACAGAAUGAGGAUCUGAUGCAGUGUCUUCUCAGCCAAAUGAAAAUAGUCAAGUAUGUGCUACGGAUUUACGGGAAGUUUGAAUUUUUUUUCUUUUUUCUAUUAGCUUUUGUAGCUUACUUACACUCAUUGUUUGACAUUCUACCAUUCUUGGUUCAUUUUUGCAGGCAGGUUACAGUGUCAAAGAUAAUUUAACGAAAGUGAAUAUCUGAGAUAGUGGCUGCUUUUGUUGGACAGACAUUUACAUAUUUUUCGAGACAAUACCAAUUUUAGCUAGAUAUUAUUGUACAUGCCAAAUCCAGUUGACAAAAUCAAUACAUAGACGGAUAUCAUUUCAGAUUAUCUAUUCAAAUUCAUUAUUAGACGGCUAACAAUAUUUAAUUAUGUAUAACAAUUAAGUUAUCAGUCGAAUUAUGCAAAAUAUUUUAAAAC